rnacentral:rRNA from 1 species
UUAUUGAAAGUGUUUAUUAAUGGAUAAUUAUAUUGAGUUAAUAAAAUUGGGCGGGUUUCUUUUCCAAUUAGAGGAAUUUGCCUUCGUAAAGGAUAUGACGCCAAAGAUUUACUUUUUUUUUAGAAAGCUUUUAUACCGCUGUUUUAAAGUAAUAUGUUAAUAUUUCUUGUAUUAUCUAUUUUUCUAAUUAUUAAUAUCUUUAGUUUAAUAUAUAAAAAAUUCAAGUCUAGGUGAAGCUAUAAAAAAGAGAGAGUGAAUUACAAUAAAUAUUUUUAUUACGGAUGGGAAUUUUAGAAUUUCUUUGAAGGGGAUUUAAAGGAAAAUUUUUUAAUGAAAAUUUGAUUAGAGUUUAAAAAAUGUACAUAUCGCCCGGUCC